rnacentral:rRNA from 1 species
AGUGAACGCUCGCGGUAGGCCUAACACAUGCAAGUCGAACGGCAGCUUAGACAGAGUUUGUUCCUACCGGUGGAGAGUCGCGUAAGGGAGCGGCAUAACAAGGUAUCUUCAAUUUCGUGGGGGUUAAUGAAGGGAAACUUCCGCUAAUACCUCAUAAGACAUACGGGAGAAAUCAGGGGAACUUCGGAUCUCGUGCGAUUGAAUAAGUCGAUGUCGGAUUAGCAAGUCGGCGGGGUAAAGGCUCACUAAGGCGACGAUCCGUAGCUGGUCUGAGAGGAUGAUCAGCCACACUGGAACUGAGACACGGUCCAGACUCCUACGGGAGGCAGCAGUGGGGAAUAUUGGACAAUGGGCGCAAGCCUGAUCCAGCCAUACCGCGUGGGUGAAGAAGGCCUUCGGGUUGUAAAGCCCUUUUGUUGAGAAAGAAAAGCAGCAGGUUAAUACCCCGCUGUUCUGACGGUACCCAAAGAAUAAGCACCGGCUAACUUCGUG